rnacentral:tRNA from 1 species
GGGCCCCUAGCUCAGUGUUGGAGCAUCUGCUUGGCAUACAGAAGGUCCUGAGUUUGAUCCUCGGCAUAUCCA